rnacentral:misc_RNA from 1 species
UCUCCGUAGGUGAACCUGCGGAGGGAUCAUUACAGAGUUUUUGCCCGCAAGGGUAGAUCUCCCACCCUAUGUUAUUCCUUCUCUGUUGCUUUGGCGGGCCGUCCGGCCUCGGUCAGGCCACCGGCUCCGGCUGGUGCGCGCCCGCCAGAGGACCCCAAACCCUAAAUGUCAGUGUCGUCUGAGUACUAUAUAAUAGUUAAAACUUUCAACAACGGAUCUCUUGGUCCUG